AUGCUCUCAAACCCAUUAAACCCUAAAAAUUUUAUGGUUCAAUCGGUGCUCUUCAACCACCAAAGCUGUUCAAUUGCAAGUUGCAAGCGGUUCAAUCGGUGUUUCAACCGACCUUCAAUCAUAGAUCAAGAUUUACAGGUCUAAUGGCAAACAAAAGUAGGCAAAAUCAAAGUGCACAAAGACAAAUCACCGAUUAUGAGAGAGAUAAGCUAUUAAGGGUUGAAGAAAGCAAUAAGAUAUUCCAGAGUCUGAUUUCUCACAAUUGUUACGUUUAUGGAGUAAUGACGAUGUGACGAAACACUAUUUACGAGCCAAGGAAUCCCGCAUGUGUCAAAAAAAUAUGCACACAGCCGGUCCAAAAAGUUUUGCUAGGAUUUGUGAGGAGAUGAAAAAUGAUAACCCAAACCAAGAGUUUCCAACCUUAACCCAAUUGUUUGAACGCACGUGUAAGAGGACAAAAGGAGGUGUAUAUGUUGAUACAUAUGAUGACACGGCAAGAAAAAUUGAACAAAUGAAGAACUACAAGUCUAUAGAGGAUGACAAUGCUACGGUAGAUCCUUUUUUGGUUGUAAUGAAUAAAGAAAACUAUGGAUACCACCGUCUUUAUGGUAGAGGCGUUACAAAUACAUUAGU
rnacentral:lncRNA from 1 species